rnacentral:lncRNA from 1 species
UAACAUCCAACAUAUUUCCAGAAUUUUUUUGCCUCAGAUAAUCUACACAAUACAGUCCAUUCUUCAAGAUACAUUAGUAAAAUUGUUAGAUCAUAGUCUCAGAAAACAAAAAGAGGUAUGGUCACACGCUCAUCCCUUCUGCUUAUAUCACAUAGUCAUCAUUCAACAAUAAUUUUACAAGACGACAUUCAACUCUUCGGUCUGACCCAUGAUGUACUUUCUCAAUAGCUCUUUUAUCAAGAUGUUAGGAUGAUCGAACACACAAGACGACCGAAAAAUCGAAGGCAUAGAAGCAACUCUACCAAAUUGUAUCCAAUAUACGCCCGCGACGCCCAAACGCCAUAAAGAAACGUCCAACAAACUGAAGACACGGCAUCAACACCAUCAACCUCAGGUAAUAUCCACAUGCAAUGCUUCACGUGUGUCAGCAUUUGAUCUCAGCUCAACCUUGCUUCUAAUCUUCUAUGUCAAAACUCUUCUAACCAUGUUUUUCCAUGCAUACAUACACUGCCAUGACAGUAGUGUGAAAGCUACAAAAAGAGCAACACUAUUGAACACAUAUUAAUUUAUAGUGCCAUACCAGAUAAACAAUAUUGAUCUCCAGAUGUUCUGUAUGUGACACCCCCAUUAUAGUCUCUAUAUCUCCAAAUGCACUUACAUGUCUGCAGUGGCAAAACAUUAUUAAGAAAACUCUAUAUGUCACUAACAAAAUAAUUUUUUUAGAGAUGACAGUCCAACAUACGUCAGCGCUAACAGCUCACCACACAAAAAGAAAGAAAGAUCAAGCUUUAAACUCAAGGAGCACAAAGAGGACAAGGACUGCAGAGGGAAGAAGAAAUACAAACAUAGAGGCUCCUAAACAAUUGAGAAAGGAUCAUGCUAAAGAAGAUAAGAAAUUGAAGCGUACAAGAAGCGAAAGCAACAAAAUUAACAUUAGAAUCAAUGUUGGAGACAGCAACAGAACCACAACCUCAACAAGUGCUAAUAGAAAGACAUGGAAAUUCGGAAGGCCAACAUACAAAUGCUAAUAUUGCAAAUCAUUGGUAUGGUGUGAAGAACGAUUAAAUUCAACAAAGGAACUAAGACACCCUCUUUUGGAAUAUGCUGCAAACAGGGAAAAAUCAAUCUGCCACCAAUAAGAGACCCUCCACCAUACCUCAGAAACCUCUUAAGAAGUGAAGGGCUGGAUUAUAUGGUCAUACAACUCAAUGUUUUCAUUCACAUCGAUGGGAGGAGUUGUGGACAAGGAAAUAAACACUCGCAAAGAACUUUCUCUUUUUCGUUUGCGUGGACAGAACUACCACCACAUCGGAACUCUUUUACCUAAAGGUACAGACAAACCUUGGUUCACACAGCUGUACAUCUAUAAUAAUGUAAAUAAGGUGGCAAACAUGAUAAGUGCGUCAAGAUGCAAUGAUAAUAAAUCAACAGUGGACCCCAACAUCGUCAAAGAACUGCAAAUAAUGCUCGACGACAACAACAUCCUUGCAAAAACAAAGUAGGAAUAUAUUUGCCUAAGCAAGCAUUCUGCCAUGGACAACUGUAUGUGGCAUUAUCGAGAGUGACAAACAAGGAAGGAUUGAACACGCUGAUCAAUAACAAAGAGUGUCCAACUGAAGAUGCCACAAAGAAUAUUGUUUAUAAAGAUAUUCUAAUUUAAAAUAUAGUUCAUCAAGUCAACAAAACUAGAAUUUUGCAUAGACAAUGCAUGUGCAAUUACAUAGAGUCGAAGACAACCUAACCAUAUAUAUAAAUAUGUCUGAUCUUUCCACAAAAUAUUACUUUUUUGUUAAUUAGUUAUUUAUUACCCCUGAAUAUUUUUAUCUCUCUUCUAACAUCAUUUAAAAAAGUUGAAGCAUGGAUAUUUUUACAUAGCUACAUACCUCCGUUUCAAAAUAUAAGCCUUUUAAGAUAUUUCAAUACAGACUACAUACGGAUGUAUAUAGAUAUAUUUUAGAGUGUAGAUUCACUCAUUUUGCACCUUAUGUAUUCCGUACUGGAAUCUCUAAAAAAACUUAUAUUUAGGAACAGAGGGAGUUUUAGAGUGUAGAUUCACUCAUUUUGCUUCUUAUGUAGUCCUUAUUGGAAUCUCUAAAAAAACUUAUAUUUAGGAACGGAGGGAGUACUAUAUUUGAUCAUUCUAGAGAAAGUUCACAAAGAAAUUCCACCUAAAUAGCGAUUACUAAUAUCUCUGCACUAACACUCUCAUCACUCUCACGAAUAGUCUCUAAAAAAAAUAGACAUCAACAUAGCCUCCUCAACCAAAUAAAUGUAUGUGUAUUCACGUAUAUAAAUGUUAACAAAUACAGACAAGACAAUGAACUAUUGAAAGAUUGUGUUAUAGGUAGUAGACGAAACAAUGAAGUAUUGAACACCUUUUGCUAUGCGGAACUUCACAUAAUUAAUACGGAUGUGUUGAAGAGACAAGCUAAAUUGAAGAGACGAUCUAAGUUGGGCAGAAUGUCAACUGAAAAAAAAAAGUUAAUUACCCAAAAUAACGCAAGGUAAGCAAAAGGGCAGGGGGAUAUGAGCAACUCUGACAUAAAUUGAGGCAAAUCUUCGCUCACUUGAUCCUAAAAAAAUUCCAUGCGCAUAUUGGUCACCUCUCUGCAUUUGCCCUUCCCGGCUUCUGAGUAGUACCUCACCGGAGAACACUCUCUUCGUCUUGCGAGCAUGAAAAUUAUGAGUAAGAAGAAACCAUGCGAAGAUAAAAAAUAUAUAGAGAAAGGUCAGUAGACCAUAAGCAUCUCCUUAUCUCCACCAGAAAAAAUCUCCACGAGCUGCAGGCAGGGGAUAACAGGAGACCACAAGCCGAUUUCUCAUGAAGAAUCCAAAAUCCAUACAAUUGCUGGAUCCUAGCAGACUAAGCAUCUGGGAAGGAAGGGGAAGGAGGGGAAGAGGAGAGAUUACCUGGAGGAGAGCUGCCGCUUAGGUUCAAGGGACGCGAACUCCAUGGCCAUCCAAUCGACGGCGGCGCGCGAGCAGCAGGCACGUGUAGUCGAGCUGGAGGACCGGCCGCCGCCGAGAGCCUGCAACGACGACACUCUGCCGCAAAUCCUACUCACCACGUCCUUCUCACUUACUGGAUCUAGCAACGAUCUGUGGAAGAAAAAGAGAAAAACGAACGAGAAUGGGAAAUGGGUUCACGUCAAGAGAAAAGAAUGAAAAAAAGGCAUGAAUGGUAGUAGUACAACCGUAC